UUGGUUGCAGUUGGUGAGAGUGUUUGAAGGUCCUUUAUGGGUAUUAAUAUUACUUUCAGGUUUAUCUGUGGCUGUGUAUUAUCAGUUCGAAAAGUUUUUAUGGAAAAAUAGUACGAUUGUUUCACCGUUUUGGGCUGUUUUUGGUUUGUUUUUAUUGCAACCGAUAAGAGUGGAAGAAAUUCCGCUGCAUUUUCGUUCUCGAUCGAUUUUUGCACUUGCGAUUAUCUUGGUGGUUUUGUUUUCUUCUUUAUUUGCAUCUGGUGUUGUUACUCAAAUGAUUUCUCCGCAAUAUGAGCCAGAAAUUAAAAAUGACGAGGAUAUUGCAAAUCAUGGUCUGAUUAAAUUGACACUUGAUGAUGGAGUCUUUGCAUUGUAUGAUAGAGAUGUCUCUUUAUUUGAUCGAAUGGACGAAAUCAACAAUUUGUUUAAACUUCAAGACAAAGUCAUGGACAAAGUAAAAAAAGGAGAAGAAGGAACUAUAAUAUUUCCUAGUUUUGUGACAAGCAGUGGACUUUGUAAAAGUGCUCAUAUAUUCUAUAAUAUGGAUUUUCAGCCCAUGAAAACCAGAGACAGAUCAGGUUAUACACAUAUUCUGGCGAGAAAUAGUGCGUAUGCGUCUCUAAUUCCACAAUUCAACAUUUAUAUGCAGAGGGUUUUUGAGAAUGGAUUGGUUAACGCUUGGGAAUUGCAAAUAUACAGAAUUUAUUAUAAAGUAUUUGCAACUUUAGCCUAUUUGGACAACAAGCCCCCGCCAAAUAUACCAAAAGCGUUAAAUCUGGAACAUUUGCAGGCGCCAUUUUGG